GAAUUCAACUCCUACGGGAGGCAGCAGUGGGGAAUAUUGGACAAUGGGCGAAAGCCUGAUCCAGCCAUGCCGCGUGUGUGAAGAAGGUCUUCGGGUUGUAAAGUACUUUCAGCGGGGAGGAAGGGAGUAAAGUUAAUACCUUUGCUCAUUGACGUUACCCGCAGAAGAAGCACCGGCUAACUCCGUGCCAGCAGCCGCGGUAAUACGGAGGGUGCAAGCGUUAAUCGGAAUUACUGGGCGUAAAGCGUGCGCAGGCGGUUGUGUAAGUCAGAUGUGAAAUCCCCGGGCUCAACCUGGGAAUUGCAUUUGAGACUGCACGGCUAGAGUGUGUCAGAGGGGGGUAGAAUUCCACGUGUAGCAGUGAAAUGCGUAGAUAUGUGGAGGAAUACCGAUGGCGAAGGCAGCCCCCUGGGAUAACACUGACGCUCAUGCACGAAAGCGGGGGGAGCAAACAGGAUUAGAUACCCGAGUAGUCCAGGCGUU
rnacentral:rRNA from 1 species